rnacentral:rRNA from 1 species
UGACUGACUGAGUGCCAGCCGCCGCGGUAAUACGUAGGCGGCAAGCGUUGUCCGGAAUUAUUGGGCGUAAAGGGAGCGCAGGCGGGAAGUUAAGCGGACUUUAAAAGUGCGGGGCUCAACCCCGUGAGGGGGUCCGAACUGACUUUCUUGAGUGCAGGAGAGGGAAGCGGAAUUCCUAGUGUAGCGGUGAAAUGCGUAGAUAUUAGGAAGAACACCAGUGGCGAAGGCGGCUUUCUGGACUGUAACUGACGCUGAGGCUCGAAAGCUAGGGUAGCGAACGGGAUUAGAUACCCCGGUAGUCCUAGCCGUAAACGAUGGAUACUAGGUGUGGGAGGUAUCGACCCCUUCCGUGCCGGAGUUAACGCAAUAAGUAUCCCGCCUGGGGAGUACGGCCGCAAGGUUGAAACUCAAAGGAAUUGACGGGGGCCCGCACAAGCGGUGGAGUAUGUGGUUUAAUUCG